GAGGAUAUAGCUCAGUGGCAGAGCUUAUGCUUAGCAUGCACGAGGUCCUGGUUUCAAUCACCAGUGCUUCCA
rnacentral:tRNA from 1 species